rnacentral:rRNA from 1 species
UGGGGAAUUGUUCACAAUGGGCGCAAGCCUGAUGACGCAACGCCGCGUGGGGGAUGAAGGUCUUCGGAUCGUAAACCCCUGUCGAAUGGGACGAAAGACUCGCGAGUGAAUACUUCGCGAGAGUGACGGUACCGUUAAAGGAAGCCACGGCUAACUCUGUGCCAGCAGCCGCGGUAAUACAGAGGUGGCAAGCGUUGUUCGGAAUUACUGGGCGUAAAGGGCGCGUAGGCGGCCCUCUAAGUCAGACGUGAAAUCCCCCGGCUUAACCUGGGAACUGCGUCUGAUACUGGAGGGCUUGAGUAUGGGAGAGGGAUGUAGAAUUCCAGGUGUAGCGGUGAAAUGCGUAGAUAUCUGGAGGAAUACCGGUGGCGAAGGCGGCAUCCUGGACCAUUACUGACGCUGAGGCGCGAAAGCUAGGGGAGCAAACGGGAUUAGAUACCCCGGUAGUCCCUGAGCGGGCUGGCAAGGCGCAU